rnacentral:rRNA from 1 species
CAGCCGCCACGGGAAUACAGAGGGUGAAAGCGUUAAUCGGAAUUACUGGGCGUAUAGCGCGCGUAGGUGGUUUGUUAAGUUGGAUGUGAAAUCCCCGGGCUCAACCUGGGAACUGCAUCCAAAACUGGCAAGCUAGAGUAUGGUAGAGGGUGGUGGAAUUUCCUGUGUAGCGGUGAAAUGCGUAGAUAUAGGAAGGAACACCAGUGGCGAAGGCGACCACCUGGACUGAUACUGACACUGAGGUGCGAAAGCGUGGGGAGCAAACAGGAUUAGAUACCCCUGUAGUCCCUGUCUCUUAUAC